rnacentral:rRNA from 1 species
AGAGUUUGAUCCUGGCUCAGAUUGAACGCUGGCGGCAUGCCUUACACAUGCAAGUCGAACGGUAACAGGUUAAGCUGACGAGUGGCGAACGGGUGAGUAAUGUAUCGGAACGUGCCCAGUCGUGGGGGAUAACUGCUCGAAAGAGCAGCUAAUACCGCAUACGACCUGAGGGUGAAAGCGGGGGAUCGCAAGACCUCGCGCGAUUGGAGCGGCCGAUAUCAGAUUAGGUAGUUGGUGGGGUAAAGGCUCACCAAGCCAACGAUCUGUAGCUGGUCUGAGAGGACGACCAGCCACACUGGGACUGAGACACGGCCCAGACUCCUACGGGAGGCAGCAGUGGGGAAUUUUGGACAAUGGGCGCAAGCCUGAUCCAGCCAUGCCGCGUGCGGGAAGAAGGCCUUCGGGUUGUAAACCGCUUUUGUCAGGGAAGAAAAGGUUCUGGCUAAUACCUGGGACUCAUGACG